AUACGGAGGGGGCUAGCGUUGUUCGGAAUUACUGGGCGUAAAGCGCGCGUAGGCGGAUUGAUCAGUCAGGGGUGAAAUCCCGGAGCUUAACUCCGGAACUGCCUUUGAUACUGUCAAUCUUGAGUUCGAGAGAGGUGAGUGGAAUUCCUAGUGUAGAGGUGAAAUUCGUAGAUAUUAGGAAGAACACCAGUGGCGAAGGCGGCUCACUGGCUCGAUACUGACGCUGAGGUGCGAAAGCGUGGGGAGCAAACAGGAUUAGAAACCCCAGUAGUCC
rnacentral:rRNA from 1 species